GACAAACGCUGGCGGCGUGCUUAACACAUGCAAGUCGAACGGAAAGGCUCCAGCUUGCUGGAGUACUCGAGUGGCGAACGGGUGAGUAACACGUGGGUAAUCUGCCCUGCACUCUGGGAUAAGCCUGGGAAACUGGGUCUAAUACUGGAUAUGACCUUUCUCCUUAUGGGGUUUGGUGGAAAGUUUUUCGGUGUAGGAUGAGCCCGCGGCCUAUCAGCUUGUUGGGGGGGUGAUGGCCUACCAAGGCGACGACGGGUAGCCGGCCUGGGAGGGUGAUCGGCCACAUUGGGACUGCGAUACGGCCCAGACUCCUACGGGAGGCAGCAGUGGGGAAUAUUGCACAAUGGGCGGAAGCCUGAUGCAGCGACGCCGCGUGAGGGAUGACGGCCUUCGGGUUGUAAACCUCUUUCAGCAGGGACGAAGCGUAAGUGACGGUACCUGCAGAAGAAGCACCGGCUAACUAUGUG
rnacentral:rRNA from 1 species